CGGGCAACGACAUUCAGAAGUGUUAGAAGUAAAUCUAACUGCACACAAAGCAGAGUUCAGCUAAGUGUCACUGCCGAAAAACAUCCUCUGUUCUCUGUGAAAUGAAGUUAGAAAAGAGCUAAAUCGAGUACUAAAACUCAUUGAAUGCAUUUAAAGAGCUGGAAGAUAGGGGAUAUGCCUGCUGUGAGGGACUGUGGGCACCAGUUUUGCAUAUUUUACAGGUGAGACAGAGAAGGACUGAUCUUUCAGCUAGUGUAAAAGCAUGCAGAGAUUUGCUUACACAUGAAUCUGCUUCAUGGCCUAUGCUUAUUUCUACCAGCGUCUUGGCCAGCUGCAGCUUCUGUUUACUGUUCAACAAACCCUUGGAGUACUGGAGUAGUUGCUAAGCUAUCAGCAAGAGCUGGGAAAGCUGGACAUUACUGUAACUCACAAUUUGAUGUGUGCUCCCUGUGGACGGCUGCUCACUAAAGAAAUUUUGGCCUUUGGCCAGUGUGGUCUGAAGAACUGAAGAGAGUAAAAGAGAAGAAAGGGAAGGCAGGAAGUUAGUAAAUGACUAUUUUUGGAGACUGAGGUGCAAGUAAAAUCACACCUUCUGUGCCUGUCACCUAGGUAACCUUUUGCAAAGCAUUUCACUUUUCUAAAACUAGAUGUGUGAAUUAUUAUACAGGAUCACAGCUAUCUGUGAGGGGCAUCUUCUUCCCACCUGUUCCUUUUCCUUUUUCAAGGAUGAGUACUCUGC
rnacentral:lncRNA from 1 species